rnacentral:rRNA from 1 species
GACGAACGCUGGCGGCGUGCUUGACACAUGCAAGUCGAACGGUAAGGCCCUUCGGGGUACACGAGUGGCGAACGGGUGAGUAACACGUGGGUGAUCUGCCCUGCACUUCGGGAUAAGCCUGGGAAACUGGGUCUAAUACCGGAUAGGACCACUGCCUGCAUGGGGGGUGGUGGAAAGCUUUUGCGGUGUGGGAUGGGCCCGCGGCCUAUCAGCUUGUUGGGGGGGUGAUGGCCUACCAAGGCGAUGACGGGUCGCCGGCCUGAGAGGGCGAGCGGCCACACUGGGACUGAGAGACGGCCCAGACUCCUACGGGAGGCAGCAGUGGGGAAUAUUGCACAAUGGGCGCAAGCCUGAUGCAGCGACGCCGCGUGAGGGAUGACGGCCUUCGGGUUGUAAACCUCUUUCAGCACCGACGAAGCGCAAGUGACGGUAGGUGCAGAAGAAGGACCGGCCAACUACGUGCCAGCAGCCGCAGUAA